GUCCCAGGAGUAGCUUAAGCGGAUGACUCAAAUUCCCAGCAGAAUUCUAGUUUAAUAUUUAUUGGAACUCCGAGCUUAGUCACACAGUGACUUGGAAUUUAAGACACAUGGGGUCUCUUCUUUCCAUCCUUAAAGAUAUUUUUGCUAAGUGACACAAAGUUAAAGAGGCAAGAUGGGUUUUAAUUUAGAGUUUUUAUUCCCUGAGGUGUAAGAAAUUAAAAUUUUAUUUUCUGGGGAGAGUGAACCAUACUAGCUCUGAAUUUCAAACACAACUAUUAACCCUGUCAGAUAAUUCUAUUAUCAAGUUUUACAAAACUGUUUACUAUUAUUAUUUUUUUUUGCUACCCCAGCCCUAUGUAUUGAAAGUGGAAAGAAGGAAGGGAGGGAAGGAGGGAAGGAGAGAGGGAGAAUGGAUGAAUGGAUGUAUGUCACAAUCACCUUUCUAGCCAAAACUGCAACAUAUGCUGGAGUUCUUGAAAUUAUUUCAACCAAAAAAAGAAUCACAGGACUCAUAAUUUGUUUAGCAGGAACUAUGCCCAGGCAGAAAAAAAGUUACUGUAGGUGAUGAAGCCAGUGCUCCCUGAACCAAAUAAACCCUAUCGACGUUACCGAACUGCCGGGCAAAACCAGAGCAACUCACUUACUUGGAAGGUGAAAAACACUUCAACAUACUCCAGGCGGCAACCGACACUUAGGGGCCAGGCAGAUGAAACACCAUUUGUUUAAAAAGUCUAUUAUUUCACUGUCUCUUCAACAAAGGUGGAAAACUGAUGAUUAAACACUGAAUAAUGCCACCCACUUACUAAACCUAUGAUUCACUAAUAAGCAGGUUCAAUGCAAUUCAUAACUUUAAAGAAUGAAUUACCGAAGCCCCUUGCUUCACAAAUUCCCCCAAGAAACAGAAAGAGCAUUCAUCACAUAUAACCCGACAACCAUUUUUACUAUGGACACCUACAGAUGGCUUCUCUUCCUCUAAGGACACAAUUUCCUUCACAAUCCCACAUGUAAUCAUUUACAAUACCAGAAACAAACUCCAACUCAGUUCCACCAACUGGGUUUUUAAAAAUCCUUGUGCCUAAGAACGUCUUUUUUCCCCAAAGUAAAAUGUGCCAUUAAAAAAUAUUUUUAAAACGCAAAAGUGCUUAUCAUUCCGUACUUCUUUUACUACCUUCAGCAGCCAAUUAUUGACGUGAUAAAAGGUAGAAACUCCUGGAAUGCUUCAGAGAUCAACAUGUGUCACAGACUCCCAGCCUGUCCGCCUCUAAGACACAGUUGGUUCCUUUGUUCCUUCUGACUGAACACCAACUCCUGAUCAAAAUUGGGAAACUACUUUGGAAGGGAUGGGAGGGUCUGCAGAAUACAUCCACGGAAACCUUCAUAAAACAAUAUU
rnacentral:lncRNA from 1 species